UACAGAGGGUGCGAGCGUUGUCCGGAAUCACUGGGCGUAAAGGGCGCGUAGGUGGCGGCAUAAGGCUGUGGUGAAAGUCUGGGGCUCAACUCCAGAUCGGCCGCGGCGACUGUGUCGCUUGGGCACCGUAGAGGCAGAUGGAAUUCCGGGUGUAGCGGUGGAAUGCGUAGAGAUCCGGAAGAACACCAGUGGCGAAGGCGGUCUGCUGGGCGGUGGGGUCGAGAGACUCCAAUAGCCGACACUGAGGCGCGACAGCGUGGGGAGCAAACAGG
rnacentral:rRNA from 1 species